GUACUUGUUUCUCCAGUGUAUGCACUGAAAUUGGAAUGUAUAUGGAGAAUAUUAGCACAGCCCCUGUUUAAGGAGCAGAAGCAAAUUCAUGAAGCAUUAAAUGUCUUU